rnacentral:rRNA from 1 species
UACGAAGGGGGCUAGCGUUGCUCGGAAUUACUGGGCGUAAAGCGCACGUAGGCGGAUCUUUAAGUCAGGGGUGAAAUCCUGGAGCUCAACUCCAGAACUGCCUUUGAUACUGAGGACCUUUGAGUUCGGGGAGAGGUGAGUGGAACUGCGAGUGUAGAGGUGAAAUUCGUAGAUAUUCGCAAGAACACCAGUGGCGAAGGCGGCUC